GACGAACGCUGGCGGCGUGCCUAAUACAUGCAAGUUGAGCGAUGAAGAUUGGUGCUUGCACCAAUUUGAAGAGCAGCGAACGGGUGAGUAACGCGUGGGGAAUCUGCCUUUGAGCGGGGGACAACAUUUGGAAACGAAUGCUAAUACCGCAUAACAACUUUAAACAUAAGUUUUAAGUUUGAAAGAUGCAAUUGCAUCACUCAAAGAUGAUCCCGCGUUGUAUUAGCUAGUUGGUGAGGUAAAGGCUCACCAAGGCGAUGAUACAUAGCCGACCUGAGAGGGUGAUCGGCCACAUUGGGACUGAGACACGGCCCAAACUCCUACGGGAGGCAGCAGUAGGGAAUCGUCGGCAAUGGACGAAAGUCUGACCGAGCAACGCCGCGUGAGUGAAGAAGGGUUUCGGAUCGUAAAACUCUGUUGGUAGAGAAGAACGUUGGUGAGAGUGGAAAGCUCAUCAAGUGACGGUAACUACCCAGAAAGGGACGGCUAACUACGUG
rnacentral:rRNA from 1 species